AUAAAGAAAGUAAAAAAGGGCGCAUGGCGGAUGCCUUGGCUCUCGGAGGCGAUGAAGGACGUGAUAAGCUGCGAUAAGCUUUGGGGAGGUGCAAAUGACCUUUGAUCCAGAGAUUUCCGAAUGGGACAACCCAAUAUCUUGAAGAGGUAUUAUCUAACGUUGUUGGAGGCUAACGCAGGGAACUGAAACAUCUUAGUACCUGCAGGAAAAGAAAAUAAACAAUGAUUCCCCCAGUAGUGGCGAGCGAACGGGGAACAGCCCAAACCAUCCAUGUUACGGCAUGGGUGGGGUUGUAGGACUACGCCGUUGCAUGAAGACAUCAGAGAAGAACUUUCUGGAAAGAAAGACCAUAGAGCAUGACAGUUGCGUAUUCGAAUGUUGUCGAAGCAUAGUAGUAUCCUGAGUAGCGCGGAGCACGAGGAAUUCUGCGUGAAUCUGCCGGGACCAUCCGGUAAGGCUAAAUACUCCCGAGAGACCGAUAGCGAACCAGUACCGUGAGGGAAAGGUGAAAAGCACUUCGAACAGAAGAGUGAAAUAGUUCCUGAAACCGUGCGCCUACAAGCGGUCGGAGCUCGUUAAUGAGUGACGGCGUGCCUUUUGCAUAAUGAACCUACGAGUUGCCUUUGCCGGCAAGGUUAAGUGUGACGACACACGUAUCCGAAGCGAAAGCGAGUCUGAACAGGGCGUAUAGUCGGCAGUGGCAGACGCGAAACCAAGUGAUCUACCCUUGGCCAGGUUGAAGGCUGGGUAACACCAGCUGGAGGACCGCACCAAUAAGCGUUGAAAAGCUUCUGGAUGAGCUGAGGGUAGGGGUGAAAGGCUAAUCAAACUUGGAGAUAGCUCGUACUCCCCGAAAUGCAUUUAGGUGCAGCCUUGCGGGUUACUGAUGUGAGGUAGAGCGACUGAUAAGAUGCGAGGGCUUCACCGCCUAUCAAGUCUUGACAAACUCCGAAUGCGCAUCAGUUCUACCGCAGGAGUGAGGGCAUGGGUGCUAAGGUCCGUGCCCGAGAGGAGAAGAAUCCGGACCACCUGCUAAGGUCCCGAAAUGACAGCUAAGUUAAACUAACGAAGUCUGACUGCUAAGACAGCUAGGAUGUUGGCUUGGAAGCAGCCAUUCAUUUAAAGAGUGCGUAACAGCUCACUAGUCGAGGAGUCGGGCGUGGAUAAUAAUCGGGUAUUAAGUUGUCUACCGAAGCAGUGGGAUCAUUUAUAUGAUCGGUAGGGGAGCAUUCCAGUCAGCGUCGAAGGCGUACCGUGAGGUAUUCUGGAGCGUCUGGAAAAGCAAAUGUAGGUAUAAGUAACGAUAAAGGGGGCGGGAAACCCCCUCGCCGAAAGACUAAGGUUUCCUGAUCAACGCUAAUCGGAUCAGGGUCAGUCGGGUCCUAAGGCUCAGCCGAACGGCGAUGCCGAUGGCAGAAACGGUUAAUAUUCCGUUACUACCUUCAGGAGUGACGUGGAGACGCAGUAGUGACAGUGCCGCCAUCUGACGGAAUAGAUGGUUGAAGGGUGUAGGAGUCGAUCAUGGCAGGCAAAUCCACCAUGAGAUCCGAACCUGAUAGUAUGCCGCGUCCUUCGGGACAAGGCAAUAGUGCGCGUAAGCAUGCUGCCGAGAAAAUCCGCUAAACUUAAUCCUGCAGGUACCCGUACCGCAAACGGACACACGUAGUCGGGAUGAAUAUUCUAAGGCGCUUGAGUGAUUCACGGUUAAGGAACUAGGCAAACUGACCCUGUAACUUCGGGAUAAAGGGUCCCUACCCUUUUAUGGGAGGGCGCAGAGAAUCGGUCCAGGCAACUGUUUAACAAAAACACAGGGCUGUGCCAAAUCGAAAGAUCCAGUAUACAGCCUGACACCUGCCCGGUGCUGGAAGGUUAAGAGGAGAUGUCAUCGAUAAGAGAAGCGUUGAAUUGAAGCCCCAGUAAACGGCGGCCGUAACUAUAACGGUCCUAAGGUAGCGAAAUUCCUUGUCGGGUAAGUUCCGACCUGCACGAAUGGUGUAAUGAUCUGGACGCUGUCUCAACCGUGAGCUCAGUGAAAUUGUAGUAUCGGUGAAGAUGCCGAUUACCCGCGAUGGGACGAAAAGACCCCGUGAACCUUUACUAUAGCUUAUCAUUGAAUCUGGGCACGUGAUGUGUAGGAUAGGUCGGAGGCUUUGAAGCAGGUACGCCAGUAUUUGUGGAGCCGCUGUUGAAAUACGACCCUUUAUUUGUUUGGAUUCUAACCCGUGGAACGGGGACAUUGAUUGGUGGGUAGUUUGACUGGGGUGGUCGCCUCCAAAAGCGUAACGGAGGCUUCUAAAGGUGCCCUCCGGCCGAUUGGUAACCGGCCUUAGAGUGUAAUGGCAUAAGGGCGCUUGACUGGGAGACUGACAAGUCGAUCAGGUAGGAAACUAGAGCAUAGUGAUCCGGUGUUUCCGUAUGGAAGGGACAUCGCUCAAAGGAUAAAAGGUACUCCGGGGAUAACAGGCUGAUCCCUCCCAAGAGCUCAUAUCGACGGAGUGGUUUGGCACCUCGAUGUCGGCUCGUCACAUCCUGGGGCUGGAGAAGGUCCCAAGGGUUGGGCUGUUCGCCCAUUAAAGUGGCACGCGAGCUGGGUUCAGAACGUCGUGAGACAGUUCGGUCUCUAUCUAUCGUGGGCGUAUGAAAUUUGCGUGGCUCUGACACUAGUACGAGAGGACCGUGUUGGACAGACCUCUGGUUUGCCGGUUGUGCCGCCAGGUGCAUUGCCGGGUAUCUAAGUCUGGAUCGGAUAAGUGCUGAAAGCAUCUAAGUACGAAGCCGGCCACAAGAUUAGAUUUCUCAGGGUCGUUGUAGACUACGACGUUGAUAGGAUGCAGGUGUAAAG
rnacentral:rRNA from 1 species